CUACGGGAUGCAGCAGUGAGGAAUAUUGCACAAUGGGGGAACCCUGAUGCAGCAACGCCGCGUGGAGGAUGACGCAUUUCGGUGUGUAAACUCCUUUUAUAUGUCAAGAAAAUGACGGUAGCAUAUGAAUAAGCACCGGCUAACUCCGUGCCAGCAGCCGCGGUAAUACGGAGGGUGCAAGCGUUACUCGGAAUCACUGGGCGUAAAGGACGCGUAGGCGGGUUGGAAAGUCAGGUGUGAAAUCCUACAGCUUAACUGUAGAACUGCACUUGAAACUUCUAAUCUAGAGUAUGGGAGGGGGAGAUGGAAUUAGUGGUGUAGGGGUAAAAUCCGUAGAUAUCACUAGGAAUACCUAAAGCGAAGGCGAUCUCCUGGAACAUUACUGACGCUAAGGCGUGAAAGCGUGGGGAGCGAACAGGAUUAGAUACCCGAGUAGUC
rnacentral:rRNA from 1 species